rnacentral:rRNA from 1 species
UACGUAGGGGGCUAGCGUUGUCCGGAAUCAUUGGGCGUAAAGAGCGCGUAGGCGGCCAGAUAAGUCCGGUGUAAAAGUCACAGGCUCCAACCUGUGAAUGCCGCUGGAAACUGUCUGGCUUGAGUCCGGGAGGGGCGAGUGGAAUUCCUGGUGGUAGCGGUGAAAUGCGCAGAUAUCAGGAGGAACACCAAUGGCGAAGGCAGCUCGCUGGAACGGUACUGACGCUGAGGCGCGAAAGCGUGGGGAGCGAACAGGAUUAGAA